AAAAACUCAGGGGUAAACGGAAAAGACCCGAAAUUUCCGAAGAGGGAGAUUCACGUCUUCUCGCGGGUUCGACGCAUCCACUCCUCUCCGACGACCCUGCCCCCGUUCGGACUCGUCCGGUGCGUGGCGGUGGGGUUGCAGAGGGUGGUGUGGAGGCCCGCGGCGGACCGCACUUCUCCCUUAGUAGGACGUCGUGACCCGUCCGGUCAUGGUCAUAAGGGUGUAGGGUGGAGCCUGGCCGAUCGUGCUUGCACGUCUUCGGUCAGACCCCCGCGCCCCGGCCAUGAAUUUCGGUCGGUAUCGAAUGACAGUGUUAGGUCACUUGCCGGGGGAGGAAACUCCUUCCAGUGAGUGCGUGCGGCUCUCGACAAGGUGCUGGGAUGUCGGUCAAGGCGGGCUCCCGUCCGUCUGGCCCCGCUCGGCCCUGUUGGUCUUGCUGCUCUCACGCUGGCCUAUCUACACUCGUCUACGGCGAAUCAGUUUUGGGCUCUUGUCCGACCCGUCUUGAAACACGGACCAAGGAGUUCAGCGUGUACGCGAGUCAUUGGGUGGUAAAACCCAAAGGCGUAAUGAAAGUGAAGGGAACUUUACGUUUCUGAGGGAGGAUGAGUCGGUUACCCGCAAGGGGCUGCUCCGCACUCCCGGGGCGUCUCUUUCUCACUGCGAGUGGAGGCGCACCCAGAGCGUACACGCUGAUACCCGAAAGAUGGUGAACUAUGCCUGGCCAGGACGAAGCCAGGGGAAACCCUGGUGGAGGUCCGCAGCGAUUCUGACGUGCAAAUCGAUCGUCGGAGCUGGGUAUAGGGGCGAAAGACCAAUCGAACCAUCUAGUAAUCCAAUAGAUGAGAACUCCCGGCUUUUCUUGAACUUUGUUUUUGAAGCCGGGGGCUCGGAUCAGAGUGCCAAGUGGGCCAAUUUUGGUAAGCAGAACUGGCGCUGUGGGAUGAACCAAACGUCGAGUUAAGGCGCCCAAAUCGACGCUCAUGUGAAACCAUGAAAGGCGUUGGUUGCUUAAGACAGCAGGACGGUGGCCAUGGAAGUCGGAAUCCGCUAAGGAGUGUGUAACAACUCACCUGCCGAAGCAACUAGCCCUGAAAAUGGAUGGCGCUGUAGCGUCGUGCCUAUACUCGACCGUCAACGGCAAAGAUGGCUGGCGGGCAACCGUCGGCCGUUACGCCUUGACGAGUAGGAGGGCCGCGGCGGCGUGCGUAGAAGGGUCUGGGCGCGAGCCUGCCUGGAGCCGCCGUCGGUGCAGAUCUUGGUGGUAGUAGCAAAUACUCCAGCGAGGCCCUGGAGGACUGAUGUGGAGAAGGGUUUCUUGUGAACAGCUGUUGCACAAGAGUCAGUCGGUCCUAAGCCCUAGGAGAAAUCCGAAGCGAUGGGUUGCCGUUAAUGUCAUACAACAACAUGAAGGCACCCGUUUGGGCGAAAGGGAAUCCGGUUCCUAUUCCGGAACCUGGCAGUGGAACCGUUCCAAUUCGGGCCCUCUGAGGACUCGUCAGGGCAACCUGAAUAGACCCGGAGACGCCGACAGGAGGUUGGGGGAGAGUUGUCUCUUCUCUAUAAGCGAUCGAGUUCCCUGGAAACUUCUAGCAAGGAGAUAGGGUUUGGAUCGCGAAGAGCACUGCAGUUACGGCAGUGUCCCAAUCUUCCUCUCGGACCUUGAAAAUCCGGGUGAGGGCCACGAGGAACCCCACGCCAGACCGUACCCAUAUCCGCAGCAAGGUCUCCAAGGGUGCAAAAGCCUCUAAGUCGAUAGAAUAUGUGAGGGGGGGGGGGG
rnacentral:rRNA from 1 species